rnacentral:rRNA from 1 species
AGAACGAACGCUGGCGGCAGGCUUAACACAUGCAAGUCGAACGGUUGUAGCAAUACAGCAGUGGCAGACGGGUGAGUAACACGUGGGAACCUUCCUAGGGGUACGGAACAACUCAGGGAAACUUGAGCUAAUACCGUAUACGUCCGUGAGGAGAAAGUUUUAACGCCCCUAGACGGGCCCGCGUAGGAUUAGGUAGUUGGUGAGGUAACGGCUCACCAAGCCUACGAUCCUUAGCUGAUCUGAGAGGAUGAUCAGCCACACUGGGACUGAGACACGGCCCAGACUCCUACGGGAGGCAGCAGUGGGGAAUCUUGGACAAUGGGCGCAAGCCUGAUCCAGCCAUGCCAGUGAGUGAAGAAGGCCCUUGGGUUGUAAAGUCGUCUUUUACCAGGGACGAUAAUGACGGUACCUGGAGAAUAAGACCCCGGCAAACUUCGUAGCCAGCAGCCG